rnacentral:rRNA from 1 species
CACCUGUUUAUCAAAAACAUGGUCUUUAGAUUAUGAUUUAAGAUUAGUCCUGCUCAAUGAAAUUUUUAAAUAGCUGCAGUAAAUUGACUGUACAAAGGUAGCAUAAUCAAUUGCUUUUUAAAUGGAAGCUAGGAUGAAAGGAUUAAUGAAAUUUGAACUGUUUCAAAAUAAUUUAAAGAAUUUAUAUAUUAAGUAAAAAUUCUUAAAUAAUUUUAAGGGACGAGAAGACCCUAUAGAAUUUUAUAUAAAAUUUUAUUUUAAAAAUUUAUUAAAUUAGAGUUUUAUAUUUAAUUGGGAGGAUUAUUAAAUUUAAGAAACUUUAAUUAGAAUAAAAAUAUUGAUGAAUAAGUUAAAGAUUGGUUAGUAAAAUUAAAAAGAAUUAAUUACCUUAGGGAUAACAGCGUAAUAUUUUUGGAGAGUUCAUAUUAAUAAAAAUGUUUGCGACCUCGAUGUUGAAUUAAGAUAAAAAUUAAAUGUAGAAGUUUAAUAUUUAAGUCUGU